rnacentral:rRNA from 1 species
AGAGUUUGAUCCUGGCUCAGGAUGAACGCUAGCGGCAGGCUUAACACAUGCAAGUCGAACGGUAAGGUCUCUUCGGAGAUACACGAGUGGCGAACGGGUGCGUAACGCGUAUGCAACCUACCUUUAACAGAGAGAUAGCCCUGAGAAAUUGGGAUUAAUAUCACAUAAUAUCAUAAUGCAGCAUUGUAUAAUGAUUAAAGCUCCGGCGGUUAAAGAUGGGCAUGCGUGACAUUAGUUAGUUGGUGAGGUAACGGCUCACCAAGACUUCGAUGUCUAGGGGUUCUGAGAGGAUUAUCCCCCACACUGGUACUGAGACACGGACCAGACUCCUACGGGAGGCAGCAGUGAGGAAUAUUGGGCAAUGGACGCAAGUCUGACCCAGCCAUGCCGCGUGCAGGAUGACGGCCCUAUGGGUUGUAAACUGCUUUUAUAUACCAAGAAACGUAGGGACGUGUCCCUGCCUGACGGUAGUAUAUGAAUAAGGAUCGGCUAACUCCGUGCCAGCAGCCGCGGUAAUACGGAGGAUCCAAGCGUUAUCCGGAUUUAUUGGGUUUAAAGGGUGCGCAGGCGGCCUUAUAAGUCAGUGGUGAAAUCUCUCGGCUCAACCGAGAAACUGCCAUUGAUACUGUAGGGCUAGAAUAUAGACGAAGUAGGCGGAAUGUAGCAUGUAGCGGUGAAAUGCUUAGAUAUGCUACAGAACACCGAUCGCGAAGGCAGCUUACUAGGCUAUUAUUGACGCUAAUGCACGAAAGCGUGGGGAGCGAACAGGAUUAGAUACCCUGGUAGUCCACGCCGUAAACGAUGAUCACUCGAUGUUGGCGAUACACAGUCAGCGUCCAAGCGAAAGCAUUAAGUGAUCCACCUGGGGAGUACGAUCGCAAGGUUGAAACUCAAAGGAAUUGACGGGGGCCCGCACAAGCGGAGGAGCAUGUGGUUUAAUUCGAUGAUACGCGAGGAACCUUACCUAGACUUAAAUGUAGAUUGCAUAGAUUGGAAACAGUCUUUUCCUUCGGGACUAUUUACAAGGUGCUGCAUGGUUGUCGUCAGCUCGUGCCGUGAGGUGUCGGGUUAAGUCCCAUAACGAGCGCAACCCCUACCCUUAGUUGCCAGCGGGUCAAGCCGGGGACUCUAAGGGAACUGCCGGCGUAAGCCGAGAGGAAGGUGGGGAUGACGUCAAAUCAGCACGGCCCUUACGUCUAGGGCUACACACGUGCUACAAUGGCCGGUACAGAGGGCAGCCACCUGGUGACAGGGAGCGAAUCUCCAAAGCCGGUCUCAGUUCGGAUCGAAGUCUGCAACUCGACUUCGUGAAGUUGGAUUCGCUAGUAAUCGUAUAUCAGCAAUGAUACGGUGAAUACGUUCCCGGGCCUUGUACACACCGCCCGUCAAACAAUGGAAGCUGGGGGUACCUGAAGUCUGUGAUCUGUUUCGGCAGAAGCGGCCUAGGGUAAAACUAGUAACUGGUGUUAAGUCGUAACAAGGUAGCCGUACCGGAAGGUGUGGCUG